AUCCAAUAGGAUGCAUGCAUUCUUUCUAAAGAGAAAUAAUUCAAGUAUUAAUUAGCGUGCUACGCUAUUUAUUUUCAAGGGAUAAAUUGCUCGAGGGCGAGUGAGGCCAAAGCGAGUAAUUGAGUUGAGACAUAAGCAUAUCAGGUUGAACGUCAAGAGGAUGGAGAAAUGAUCGGAGUCGAUGCUACUAAAUAAUCAAGUGGAUCUUUCUUCAUACACGAAGUCGUCUAGUAUGGACUUAUUCCGCUGCUCUUUUGUGAAGUGAGACAUCUUAGAAUCUCACCUUCGAACUCUGAUUUAUUGAUGAAAUGUUUAUUCUAGUUCUAAGACCAUGUAAUGGUACAUUUGACUUCUAUUCUAUGAUAUGAUCGACUUGGCCUUCGGGUAUA